rnacentral:lncRNA from 1 species
CAGGAGGUGGCCCAGGCAGCUGAGAUGGAGCCUCCUUGCUGUGCAGAGAAGCUGGACGAGAUGCUGGCAGCCGCCGCAGAGCCAACGCUGAGGCCAGACAUCGCAGACGCAGACUCCAGAGCCGCCACCGUCAAACAGAGACCCACCAGUCGGAGGAUCACACCCGCCGAGAUUAGCUCAUUGUUUGAACGCCAGGGCCUCCCAGGCCCAGAGAAGCUGCCGGGCUCCUUGCGGAAGGGGAUUCCACGGACCAAGUCUGUAGGGGAGGACGAGAAGCUGGCGUCCCUGCUGGAAGGGCGCUUCCCGCGGAGCACCUCGAUGCUAGACCCGGUGCGCGAGGGUCGCGGCAUCCCGCCC